CCUUUUGAAUCCAGCUUUGUUCCUAGGUACCGCAACUGAAGAAGGCUAUUAGAGCAUGACUGUGUGGAGGUAAUAGAAUACACCUAUUCAGCAAGAGAAGACUUGAAAGAUGUCCCACUAGAGCAACUGGAGUGGGAGCUGUUUACAGAUGGGAGCAGCUUCAUGGAAAAUGGAACCAGAUGCGCUGGAUAUGCAGUUACAACAGUCAGUACAGUAGUGGAGGCAAAAGCAUUACCACCAAAUACAUCUGCCCAGAAGGCAGAACUGGUUGCUUUAACCAGGGCACUAGAAUUAAGUGAAGGGAAAAAGGUAAAUAUCUGGACUGACUCAAAAUAUGCUUUUGGAGUGGUGCAUGUACACGGAGCACUGUGGAAAGAAAGAGGAUUACUAUCUUCUCGAGGUACUCACAUUAAACAUCAGGAUGCAGUCCUGCAAUUGAUAAAAGCAGUACAAAAACCUGAACAAGUGGCAAUUAUACACUAUAAAGCACACCAAUCAGGAAACUCCAAAAUCUGUGAGGGAAAUCGAAAAGCAGACUGGACAGCCCGACAGGUUGCUCAAGAGGUGCAAACAACAACGGCAUUGAUACCUUUAAAGCUUAAUGUAUCCCAAUUCAAUUUGCCUCCAGAACCAAAAUAUUCAGUAGAAGAUGAGAGACUGGCACGUUUGCUAAAUGCACAAAAGAAUUCGGAAGGAUGCUCGGCUCUGGAGCAUCCUUGUGUGGAAUAGACCACUGACUCUUGAGAACCCAGUUCAUAACAUACAUCCAGGAGACGAGGUGUACAUCAAGAACUGGAACGAAGAACCGCAGAAAGAAAAGUGGAGUGGACCCCAUCAGGUACUACUGGCCACCUUUACAGCAGUCAAAGUAGCCGGCGUGGACCCCUGGAUUCAUUACACCUGUGUGAAGAAAAUCCAUCCUGAAUCACAGACUGUGUAAACUGUGGAACCAACAAGGCUGCAGAUAAGAUGUGUUUAAUCACUUUGAGAAUGCUAUCAGUAAUUGUGCUAACGUUAUGGUCAUUAAUGUCUUUGGGAUGUGGAAUGCAAAAUGAUCAACUCACUACUCUGUCACCCUGGGUUUUUAAGAUUUUCUAAGCCUUCUGAUGUUGACAUUCUUGUAGUGAAUUUUCUCACACACUUUCUGUAAAUAACUCAUUGUUUUGCAUUCCUUUAUGGAGGAGAAGAAAGUUGAUGGACUGUUGGUUUAACCAGUGGCAUUGGAGAGGUGCCACUGUCACCCUCCAAUCCAUUGUCACUUUUGGAAAACUAUAAAUGUUGGAGUCAGAAAAUAAACGGCCCUUUUUCUCUCUU